rnacentral:rRNA from 1 species
GAUGAACGCUGGCGGCGUGCCUAAUACAUGCAAGUCGAGCGAACGGACGAGAAGCUUGCUUCUCUGAUGUUAGCGGCGGACGGGUGAGUAACACGUGGAUAACCUACCUAUAAGACUGGGAUAACUUCGGGAAACCGUAGCUAAUACCGGAUAAAAUUUUGAACCGCAUGGUUCAAAAGUGAAAGACGGUCUUGCUGUCACUUAUAGAUGGAUCCGCGCUGCAUUAGCUAGUUGGUAAGGUAACGGCUUACCAAGGCAACGAUGCAUAGCCGACCUGAGAGGGUGAUCGGCAACAAUGGAACUGAGACACGGUCCAGACUCCUACGGGAGGCAGCAGUAGGGAAUCUUCCGCAAUGGGCGAAAGCCUGACGGAGCAACGCCGCGUGAGUGAUGAAGGUCUUCGGAUCGUAAAACUCUGUUAUUAGGGAAGAACAUAUGUGUAAGUAACUGCGCGCAUCUGGACGGUACCUAAUCAGAAAGCCACGGCUAACUACGUG